rnacentral:lncRNA from 1 species
GUGGAUGAUGGAUGACUGUGUGGUAGGUGGAUGAUGGAUGAGUGUGUGGUGGGUGGAUGAGGGAUGAGUGUGUGGUGGGUGGAUGACGGAUGAGUGUGUGGUGAGUGGAUGAGGGAUGAGUGUGUGGUGGGUGGAUGAUGGAUGAGUGUGUGGUGAGUGGAUGAGGGAUGAGUGUGUGGUGGGUGGAUGAUGGAUGGAGGAGUGGGUGGAUGAUGGAUGACUGUGUGGUAGGUGGAUGAUGGAUGAGUGUGUGGUGGGUGGAUGAGGGAUGAGUGCGUGGUGGGUGGAUGAUGGAUGAGUGUGUGGUGGGUGGAUGAGGGAUGAGUGUGUGGUGGGUGGAUGAGGGAUGAGUGUGUGGUGGGGGAUGA